UUAUUUGAGAGUUUGAUCCUAGCUCAGGAUGAACGCUGGCGGCGUGGAUAAGGCAUGCAAGUCGAACGGAUUACUUUUUAAACAAGAUGAGAUUACAUCAAGUUGAGUAAGAAAAGUAAUUAGUGGCAAACGAGUUAGUAAUACCUUGGUACUUACCCUUAAGUUAGGCAUAAUUCGCUGAAAGGCGAACUAAUACCUAAUAGUUCCCAGCACCUUCUUUGCGUUAUAAUAGUCUUUUGUAAUGCAAAGAAAGUGCUGGGUAAAGAAGCAAUUCGCUUAAGGAGAGGCCUAGGCCCGAUCAGCUAGUUGGUGAGGUAAUGGCUCACCAAGGCUAUGACCGGUAGGGGGGGUGAGAGCCUGUUCCCCAACGACGCAACUGAGACACGGUGCGUACACCUACGGGUGGCAGCAGUCGAGAAUAUUCCACAAUGGGCGAAAGCCUGAUGGAGCGACGCCGCGUGCAGGAAGAAGGUCUUCGGAUUGUAAACUGCUUUUCUAUGGGAAGAAGCCAGAUUAUUUUGGUUUGACGGUACCAUAGGAAUAAGGGGUUGCUAACUCUGUGCCAGCAGCAGCGGUAAUACAGAGACCCCGAGCGUUAUCCGGAUUUAUUGGGCGUAAAGCGCGAGUAGGCGGUCUGAUAAGUCUAAUGUUAAAUCCCAAAGCCUAACUUUGGGCUCGCAUUGGAUACUAUUAGUCUAGAGGACGCCAGAGGCAGAUGGAACAGCCGGUGUAGGGGUGAAAUCCGUUGAUAUCGGCUGGAACACCAAAGGCGAAGGCAUUCUGCUGGGACGUUCCUGACGUUGAAUCGCGAAAGCGUGGGUAGCAAAAAGGAUUAGAUACCCUUGUAGUCCACGCCCUAAACAAUGUCCACUAGCUGUGGGGAGUAUCGACCCUCUCCGUGGCGAAGCUAACGCGUUAAGUGGACCGCCUGGGAAGUACGGCCGCAAGGCUAAAACUCAAAGGAAUAGACGGGGACCCGCACAAGCGGUGGAGCAUGAGGUUUAAUUCGACGGUACGCGAGGAACCUUACCAGGGUUUGAAAUGUUAGCGAAAGCUGUCUGAAAGGAUGGCUGUCUCACAAGGACGCUAGCACAGGUGCUGCAUGGUUGUCGUCAGCUCGUGAUUUGAAUUGUUCCCUUAAGUGGGGUAACGAGCGCAACCCCUGUUUCGUGUUAUAUGUGUCACGAAAGACUGCCGAGCUAAUCUCGGAGGAAGGCGGGGAUGACGUCAAAUCCGCAUGGCCCUCUGAUACCCUGGGCUACACUCAUGCUACAAUGGCUGGUACAAAGGGUUGCCAAACCGCAAGGUGGAGCUAAUCCCAGAAAACCAGUCUCAGUUCGGAUUGAGGGCUGAAAUUCGUCCUCAUGAAGUUGGAAUCGCUAGUAAUCGCGCAUCAGCUAUGGCGCGGUGAAUACGUUCUCGGGUCCUGUACUCACCGCCCGUCACGCCAAGGGAGCCGGAAAAAGGUGAAGUUUCGCAUUAGCGGAAUCAGCCUUAGUUCGGUGACAUGGGCGAAGUCGUAACAAGGCACGCGUAGCGGAAGCUGUGCGUGGACCAAUUAAUAA
rfam:Parcubacteria (Wolfebacteria) bacterium GW2011_GWC1_37_10 TS36_C0006, whole genome shotgun sequence.